rnacentral:lncRNA from 1 species
CCCUCCUUACUCAAUCUUUUCUCUUUGAUGGUUGAUUUCACCGAUCCCCCCCCCUCUCUCUCUCUCUCUCACCCCUCCUUUUCCUAUCUACCUCUUCACGAGUUUACCAUGCUAUAGAGAGAGAGACACAAGGUAGCCGGUGGGGCAGUCGUGUGCACUCAUCAUCAUCUCUAUAAAUCAAGGAAGAACUUUGGACAGCCUUCUUUCUCUCCAUUAAAAUCCUCUUUAUCUUUCUCCCCACUUCUUUCUCGACGGGACCAACAAAGAAGCGUCUCUGCAGGGCAGCGGACUCGGCGUCUGUGAGGAUUCCCCGGCGAGCAUCAGAUGGAUGCCCUCUCCGGACGGGGGGAGAAGGCGGAGGCAGGAGGGCAAUAAAGAAAAGGGUCAAAGAAGUUGAAGAAUGCCCUGCCGGCCACGCCCCCUCUCCACACUACCUCCAAUGGCUUAAAUUAAAGGUUCCAUGUAUGGGGGGCUUGUAAAGCUGGGAUCCUCCUACCUCCUCCGAGCUGGUGGCCUUAUGGAUCGCGGCGACCCCAUCUCGUGGUCACCAAUAAUGAUAAUAAUAAUAAUAUACAUAGAUAUUUAAUGUGUUUUUAUAUUUUUUUUUCCAAAAUAAUUCAGGAAUAAUGAGCAGACCCCGUCCGUUUAAUUUUUUUUUCUAUGAUAAUGGUGAUGGUGCUGGUGCUGGUGCUGGUGCUUAAUGCGUUUUCAAGCAUUGGUAAAAGCCUUGAAAAACGAGUCGCUCCACAUUUUCUUGUGUAAUAAUAAUCAUAAUUAUAUAUUGACGAUUCAAAGACUGACCCCAUGGGCAGUGCCGUUUUGGGAUACUAUUAUCGUGGCCCGUUCGUCUUCCGAUGACAGAUUUGUGAGUCUACGACCCGUCUGCCAUGAG